CAAUAGCGUAUAUUAAAGUUGUUGCAGUUAAAAAGCUCGUAGUUGGAACGAUUCGUUUGCUGAACGCACUUUCGAAGUACGUAAAGCAUUCGCGGGCUCUACGAGAGCCUCUGUUACUUUGAGAAAAAUUGAGUGUUUCAGGCGGGCUAGUGCUGAAAUAGUGUACCAUGGAAUAACGAAGUGGCCACAUUUCCGUUUCGUUGGUUUGGUUGAUAGGAACAGUCGGGGGUAUUCGUAUUGAACAGUCAGAGGUGAAAUUCUUAGAUUUGUUCAAGACGAACUAAUGCGAAAGCAUCUACCAAGGAUGUUUNCAUUA
rnacentral:rRNA from 1 species